GUCUUAAAAACGGCUUUUCAUGACGAAGUGGUUUUCGUGUCCGAGAAGACAGGAAGAUACAACACCGUGGAAAAGGUCUUUAUUGAUCAGGCUCAACGUCUGGCCCUUCAGAGGGAGAUAGACAAGGAGUCCCAGUCCACGGUUUCAGUCAGAUCGCUGGUUUGUAUCUGGUUCUGUGUUGCUCUCCAACAUGACACUGACUGCAUCCCAAAUGCCACCAUAUCCCCUAUUUAGUGCACCACCUUUGAACCAGGACACAUUGGGUCAGAAGAAGUGCACUAUAUAGAAAAUAGGGUUUCAUUUAGGACACACACUGUCAAUAUCAAUAUUGUGUCCAUUUUAAACUGAAAAUGCAUUCUCUACAAUGUCCUUUGAAGUGACUGCUUCUUUCAAACAGAUCCAUAUUGU
rnacentral:lncRNA from 1 species